rnacentral:rRNA from 1 species
CCUACGGGAGGCAGCAGUGGGGAAUAUUGGACAAUGGGCGAAAGCCUGAUCCAGCAAUGCCGCGUGAGUGAUGAAGGCCUUAGGGUUGUAAAGCUCUUUUACCCAGGGAUGAUAAUGACAGUACCUGAGAAUAGUCGCCC